UGGCGGACGGGUGAGGAACGCGUAGGGAUGUGUCCGGGGGUGGGGGAUAACGUUGGGAAACUGGCGCUAAUACCGCAUGUGAGCUGAGGCUCAAAGCCGCGAGGCGCCUUUGGAGCAACCUGCGUCCGAUUAGGUAGUUGGUGGGGUAAUGGCUUACCAAGCCUGCGAUCGGUAGCUGGUCUGAGAGGACGACCAGCCACACUGGGACUGAGACACGGCCCAGACUCCUACGGGAGGCAGCAGUGGGGAAUAUUGGACAAUGGGCGCAAGCCUGAUCCAGCAAUGCCGCGUGGAUGAAGAAGGUCUUCGGAUUGUAAAGUCCUUUCGACGGGGACGAUGAUGACGGUACCCGUAGAAGAAGCCCCGGCUAACUUCGUGCCAGCAGCCGCGGUAAUACGAAGGGGGCUAGCGUUACUCGGAAUUACUGGGCGUAAAGGGCGCGUAGGCGGCUUGAUAAGUCAGGCGUGAAAUUCCCGGGCUCAACCUGGGGACUGCGCUUGAGAC
rnacentral:rRNA from 1 species